AAACCAGCACCUCAAGUGGUCAGGAGGAUUAUUGGGCCUAAAGCAUCCGUAGCCUGCUUUGUAAGUUUUCGGUUAAAUCCAUAUGCUCAACAUAUGGGCUGCCGGGAAUACUGCACAGCUAGGGAGUGGGAGAGGUAGACGGUACUCGGUAGGAAGGGGUAAAAUCCUUUGAUCUAUUGAUGACCACCAGUGGCGAAGGCGGUCUACCAGAACACGUCCGACGGUGAGGGAUGAAAGCUGGGGGAGCAAACCGGAUUAGAAACCCCAGUAGUCC
rnacentral:rRNA from 1 species